UACGGAAGGGGCAAGCGUUGUUCGGAAUCAUUGGGCGUAAAGGGCGCGUAGGUGGUUCUGUAUGUCUACCGUGAAAGCGUACGGCUCAACCGUAUUUUGUCGGUAGAAACUGCAGGGCUUGAGGCUGGGAGGGGCUGGUGGAAUUCCCUGUGUAGCGGUGAAAUGCGUAGAGAUGGGGGAGAACACUCGUGGCGAAGGCGGCCAGCUAGACCAGUUCUGACACUGAGGCGCGACAGCGUGGGGAGCAAACAGG
rnacentral:rRNA from 1 species